UGGGUACGGGCAGACUAGAGUGCGGUAGGGGAGAUUGGAAUUCCUGGUGUAGCGGUGGAAUGCGCAGAUAUCAGGAGGAACACCGAUGGCGAAGGCAGAUCUCUGGGCCGUAACUGACGCUGAGGAGCGAAAGGGUGGGGAGCAAACAGGCUUAGAUACCCUGGUAGUCCACCCCGUAAACGUUGGGAACUAGUUGUGGGGACCAUUCCACGGUUUCCGUGACGCAGCUAACGCAUUAAGUUCCCCGCCUGGGGAGUACGGCCGCAAGGCUAAAACUCAAAGGAAUUGACGGGGACCCGCACAAGCGGCGGAGCAUGCGGAUUAAUUCGAUGCAACGCGAAGAACCUUACCAAGGCUUGACAUAUACGAGAACGGGCCAGAAAUGGUCAACUCUUUGGACACUCGUAAACAGGUGGUGCAUGGUUGUCGUCAGCUCGUGUCGUGAGAUGUUGGGUUAAGUCCCGCAACGAGCGCAACCCUCGUUCUAUGUUGCCAGCACGUAAUGGUGGGAACUCAUGGGAUACUGCCGGGGUCAACUCGGAGGAAGGUGGGGAUGACGUCAAAUCAUCAUGCCCCUUAUGUCUUGGGCUUCACGCAUGCUACAAUGGCCGGUACAAAGGGCUGCAAUACCGUAAGGUGGAGCGAAUCCCAAAAAGCCGGUCCCAGUUCGGAUUGAGGUCUGCAACUCGACCUCAUGAAGUCGGAGUC
rnacentral:rRNA from 1 species